UACGUAGGGGGCUAGCGUUGUCCGGAAUCAUUGGGCGUAAAGAGCGCGUAGGCGGCCAGAUAAGUCCGGUGUGAAAGUCACAGGCUCAACCUGUGAAUGCCGCUGGAAACUGUCUGGCUAGAGUCCGGAAGGGGCGAGUGGAAUUCCUGGUGUAGCGGUGAAAUGCGUAGAUAUCUGAAGGAACAUCAGUGGCGAAAGCGACUUCCUGGACCAAUACUGACGCUCAUGUGCGAAAGCGUGGGGAGCAAACAGG
rnacentral:rRNA from 1 species